rnacentral:rRNA from 1 species
UACAGAGGUCUCAAGCGUUUGUUCGGAUUCAUUGGGCGUAAAGGGUGCGUAGGUGGCAGGGUAAGUCGGAUGUGAAAUCCCGGGGCUCAACCUCGGAACUGCAUUCGAUACUGCUUUGCUUGAGUACUGGAGAGGAGAUUGGAAUUUACGGUGUAGCAGUGAAAUGCGUAGAUAUCGUAAGGAAGACCAGUGGCGAAGGCGGAUCUCUGGACAGUUACUGACACUGAGGCACGAAGGCCAGGGGAGCAAACGGG